GGCUGGAUAGCUCAGUUGGUAGAGCACCGGUACGGUAUCCCGGAGGUCCCAGGUUCAAAUCCCGCUCCAGUCA
rnacentral:tRNA from 1 species